rnacentral:rRNA from 1 species
UACGGGGGGGGCAAGCGUUGUUCGGAAUUACUGGGCGUAAAGGGCUCGUAGGCGGCCAACUAAGUCAGACGUGAAAUCCCUCGGCUUAACCGGGGAACUGCAUCUGAUACUGGAUGGCUUGAGUUUGGGAGAGGGACGCGGAAUUCCAGGUGUAGCGGUGAAAUGCGUAGAUAUCUGGAGGAACACCGGUGGCGAAGGCGGCGUCCUGGACCAACACUGACACUGAGGAGCGAAAGCCAGGGGAGCAAACGGGG